GGCUUCAUGGUCUAGUGGUAUGAUUCCUGCUUCGGGAAAAACAAACCUGGAGUCCCCGGUUCUCUAGAAUCGCCUUUGCAGGAGGCCCCGGGUUCGAAUCCCGGUGAAGCCC